rnacentral:rRNA from 1 species
CGGCAUGCCUAACACAUGCAAGUCGAACGAGACCUUCGGGUCUAGUGGCGCACGGGUGCGUAACGCGUGGGAACCUGCCCUUAGGUUCGGAAUAAUUCCCCGAAAGGGGUGCUAAUACCGGAUAAUGUCUUCGGACCAAAGAUUUAUCGCCUUUGGAUGGGCCCGCGUUGGAUUAGCUAGUUGGUAGGGUAAAAGCCUACCAAGGCGACGAUCCAUAGCUGGUCUGAGAGGAUGAUCAGCCACACUGGGACUGAGACACGGCCCAGACUCCUACGGGAGGCAGCAGUGGGGAAUAUUGGACAAUGGGCGAAAGCCUGAUCCAGCAAUGCCGCGUGAGUGAUGAAGGCCUUAGGGUUGUAAAGCUCUUUUACCCGGGAUGAUAAUGACAGUACCGGGAGAAUAAGCUCCGGCUAACUCCGUG